CGAACGGGUGAGUAACGCGUGAGGAACCUGCCUCAAAGAGGGGGACAACAGUUGGAAACGACUGCUAAUACCGCAUAAGCCCACAGGUCGGCAUCGACCAGAGGGAAAAGGAGCAAUCCGCUUUGAGAUGGCCUCGCGUCCGAUUAGCUAGUUGGUGAGGUAAUGGCCCACUAAGGCAACGAUCGGUAGCCGGACUGAGAGGUUGAACGGCCACAUUGGGACUGAGACACGGCCCAG
rnacentral:rRNA from 1 species